rnacentral:misc_RNA from 1 species
AUUUAUUUUGGUUGUUUAAAAAAAAUUCAACAGAAAUUAACAGGGCAUAGCAGAUUUUACCAGACUUGAUCCAGUAGUUGAGAGUAUAAAACCAGAACAAGCUAGGGAAGGGGAGGAAACAGCUGGAGAUCACUGGUAUGGGAGGUCUUGGGAAAAAUUAGCUUUAGUCUUUGCUAAUAAACAAAGCUAAGCAAUUAUGCCCAAUCCCCCCAUACCCAUAACUCC